AUGAGGUGUGGAUAGCGGAGAAAUUCCAAUCGAACCCGGAGAUAGCUGGUUCUCCUCGAAAUAGCUUUAGGGCUAGCCUCAUACAAGUCUUGCGGAGGUAGAGCACUGAAUUUCCUAGGGGGCGUCAAAGCUUACCGAAGAAUAUCAAACUCCGAAUGCCGUGUAGAUGUUGUAUGGGAGUCAGACUGUACGAGAUAAGUUGGACAGUCAAAAGGGAAAGAGCCCAGACCUGCAGCUAAGGCCCCAAAAUGUGUGUUAAGUGGAAAAGGAUGUGGGAUUUCGAAGACAACUAGGAUGUUGGCUCAGAAGCAGCCAUACAUUCAAAGAGUGCGUAAUAGCUCACUAGUCGAGAGGUCCUGCGCCGAAAAUGUCCGGGGCUGAAACACACUGCCGAAGCUUUGGAAUUGAUGAAUUUCAAUUGGUAGAGGAGCAUUCUUAAAGAGACGAAGCAGUACCGGAAGGAGCUGUGGAUUUUUAAGAAGAGAGAAUGCCGGAAUGAGUAGCGAGAGGAAGGUGGGAAUCCUUCCGGCCGAAUAUCCAAGGUUUCCAGAGUAAAGCUGAUCUGCUCUGGGUAAGUCGGGGCCUAAGGAGAGGCAGAGAUGCGUAUCCGAUGGACAGCAGGUUUAAGAUUCCUGCACCCCUUGUUAUCAGAACUGCGGGGACACGGGAAGGGAAGCAGAGCCGGGAAUGGAAAGCCCGGUGCAAGCGAAGUAGUCGCAGGGCUGGAAAAUCCGCCCUGCAUGAGACGAAGGCGUGAUGCGGAGCGAAAUGAAGUAGUGAAGCUGCGGCCCCUUCCUGUCGAGAAAAGCCGCUAUCGUGUAGCAAGGGCCCGUACCGUAAACCGACACAGGUGGAUGAGGAGAGGAUCCUAAGGCCGGCGGGAGAAGUGUUGUUAAGGAACUCGGCAAAAUGACUCCGUAACUUCGGGAGAAGGAGUGCUGCGCAAGCAGCCGCAGAGAAAUGGCCCAAGCAACUGUUUAGCAAAAACACAGGUCUAUGCGAAACCGAAAGGUGAGGUAUAUGGGCUGACGCCUGCCCGGUGCUGGAAGGUUAAGGGGAGAGCUUAGCGCGAGCGAAGGUUUGAACUUAAGCCCCAGUAAACGGCGGCCGUAACUAUAACGGUCCUAAGGUAGCGAAAUUCCUUGUCGGGUAAGUUCCGACCCGCACGAAAGGCGUAAUGAUUUGGGCACUGUCUCAACAACACACCCGGUGAAAUUGAAAUACCAGUGAAGAUGCUGGUUACCCGCGCCAGGACGGAAAGACCCCAUGGAGCUUUACUCCAGCCUGAUACUGGGAUUCGGUAUUGCAUGUACAGGAUAGGUGGGAGGCUAAGAACUCAUGGCGCCAGCCGUGAGGGAGCCGAUGUUGGGAUACCACCCCUGCAGUACUGGGUUUCUAACCUGCGCCCGUGACCCGGGCGGGGGACAAUGUCAGGCGGGGAGUUUGACUGGGGCGGUCGCCUCCGAAAGGGUAUCGGAGGCGC
rnacentral:rRNA from 1 species